rnacentral:misc_RNA from 1 species
AACGCACGAGACCUGCGGACCUGCGGAGGGAUCAUUAGUGAACGCCCUCACGGGCUUAUAACUAUUCCAAACCUCUGUGAACCGUGCCCUUCGGGGCUAUUUUACAAACAUGGUGUAAUGAACGUCAUAUAUCAUAACAAAACAAAACUUUUAGCAAUGGAUCUCU